rnacentral:rRNA from 1 species
GGCUCAGAACGAACGCUCGCGGCGUGCCUAACACAUGCAAGUCGAACGAGAAGUACGUAGCAAUACGUAUUGUAAAGUGGCGCACGGGUGAGUAACACGUGGGUAAUCUGCCCUUGAGUUUGGGAUAACCCCGCGAAAGCGGGGCUAAUACCGAAUAAGACCACGGGGACCAAAGUCUCUGAGGUAAAAGGUGGCCUCUAUUUAUAAGCUACCACUUGAGGAUGAGCCCGCGGCCCAUUAGCUAGUUGGCGGGGUAAUGGCCCACCAAGGCUAUGAUGGGUAGCUGGUCUGAGAGGACGAUCAGCCACACUGGAACUGAGACACGGUCCAGACUCCUACGGGAGGCAGCAGUGGGGAAUAUUGCGCAAUGGGCGAAAGCCUGACGCAGCAACGCCGCGUGGGGGAUGAAGGUUCUCGGAUUGUAAACCCCUUUCGACCGGAACGAAUCCCCUCCUGGUAAAUAAUCAGGAGGAUCGACGGUACCGGGAGAAGAAGCCACGGCUAACUCUGUGCCAGCAGCCGCGGUAAGACAGAGGUGGCGAGCGUUGUUCGGAUUUAUUGGGCGUAAAGCGUACGCAGGCGGUUUGGUAAGUCAGAGGUGAAAGCUCGCAGCUUAACUGCGACACUGCCUUUGAUACUGCCUUUCUUGAGUAGAGUAGGGGGAAGCGGAAUUCCGAGUGUAGAGGUGAAAUUCGUAGAUAUUCGGAGGAACACCGGUGGCGAAGGCGGCUUCCUGGACUCUAACUGACGCUCAUGUACGAAAGCGUGGGUAGCAAACAGGAUUAGAUACCCUGGUAGUCCACGCCCUAAACGAUGGGCACUAGGUGUGGGAGGUAUCGACCCCUUCCGUGCCGCAGCUAACGCAUUAAGUGCCCCGCCUGGGGAGUACGGC